UACGUAGGGUGCAAGCGUUGUCCGGAAUUAUUGGGCGUAAAGAGCUUGUAGGCGGUCUGUCGCGUCUGCUGUGAAAAUCCGGGGCUCAACCCCGGACUUGCAGUGGGUACGGGCAGACUAGAGUGUGGUAGGGGAGACUGGAAUUCCUGGUGUAGCGGUGAAAUGCGCAGAUAUCAGGAAGAACACCAAUGGCGAAGGCAGCUCGCUGGGACGGUACUGACGCUGAGACGCGAAAGCGUGGGGAGCAAACAGG
rnacentral:rRNA from 1 species